rnacentral:rRNA from 1 species
CUACGGGAGGCUCCAGUGAGGAAUAUUGGUCAAUGGAGGCAACUCUGAACCAGCCAUGCCGCGUGAAGGAUGACGGCCCUAUGGGUUGUAAACUUCUUUUGAAUAGGAAGAAACUUAUCUACGUGUAGAUAACUGACGGUACUAUUAGAAUAAGGAUCGGCUAACUCCGGGCCAGCAGCCGCGGUAAUACGGAGGAUCCAAGCGUUAUCCGGAUUCAUUGGGUUUAAAGGGUCCGUAGGCGGGUCUUUAAGUCAGUGGUGAAAGCCGACAGCUCAACUGUCGAACUGCCAUUGAUACUGGAGACCUUGAGUACAAAUGAAGUAGGCGGAAUGAGUCAUGUAGCGGUGAAAUGCAUAGAUAUGACUCAGAACACCGAUUGCGAAGGCAGCUUACUAACAUGUAACUGACGCUGAGGGACGAAAGCGUGGGGAGCGAACAGGAUUAGAUACCCGCGUAGUC